UUUUUCCGUAUUCGAAAUCUAACAGAGUCUGUAUACCCCGGAGGAGUGCUAUUGAGAACACAUGUGGUGGUUUUGAUGGUGGCUGAAUCCUGAAUGUAACCACCACUCGUGUUCUCAGGUCACCCCUCUGGGGUACUCUGUUUCACAACAAUUCGAAUCGACAAUAGCAGAGUUUUUAUACCCCAGAGGAGUGCUACUGGGAACACAUGUGGUGGUUUUGGUGGUGGCUGAAAUGAACCACCACUCGUGUUCUCAGGUCACCCCUUUGGGGUACUCCGUUUCCAUUCGACUGACCAUUUGGAAAAAUGCCGUCGUUGGUUUACGAAACUGGUAAUUUAGUCCAUUUCGACCAUCUCCUCCGCCACCUCGACCCCAUCAUGAAACAACAAAUACAUAAAUGGUCGAGUUGCGGUUGGGAUGGUCUAUAUGGAUUAAUAUCAGUUGAAAGCAAUGGGAUUAGUUUCCAAAUGGGUACUUAAUUGGCAUGAAAGAUCCCUCAAGAAGCUAUUGUGAAUGUAUGUUGCUCUAGUUUGUCGUUCAACGGCAAUUGGGUGUGCUAAUUUCCUGCACCAUGAGCAUCAAGAAUGAUGUUGCUGAAUGGAGAAUCUGAAAUCAAAGGCAGUGCCUUAACUUCUCUUGAGAAGUCAUUUCUAUCAUCGUGGAGCUUACUUGCUAUUAUCUCCUGCUACUACUGCUUCUUGGGAAUCAACUGCCAACAAAACUAUACGGUUCACCAUGUAAAUUUUGUACACAGUGUAGAGUGUAAGGUAUUUCACUGUAUGCAGAUUUUGCUACUUGUACACCAAAUUUUUACACCGAAUCCACACACCACUAUGCUAGACCCAAAAAUGACUAAUGUUUUUGGGAAUAGGUGGUUUCACACUAAAACCAUGAAACAAUGAGCGAUGGACACAUAGUGAUGCAUGGAUCUGGUGUAGAAAUCUUGGUGCAAUCAAAGCACUUUCGGAUUGUUAAUGGCUCAAUGCCAUCCGGGGAAAAAUACAGAUUGUAAUUUGUACAGCAGUAUCAUUCUGAUAUUUUUGAAAUGAAAUUUGAUUCGUUAUA